GAGAAGAACGCAGCGAAAUGCGAUACGUAAUGUGAAUUGCAGAAUUCAGUGAAUCAUCGAAUCUUUGAACGCAUAUUGCGCUCUUUGGUAUUCCGAAGAGCAUGCUUGUUUGAGUAUCAGUAAACACCUCAACCUCUUCUUGAUUUUUCAAAAGGAGGGUGGACUUGAGCUAUCCCAACAACCUUUACCGGUCGGCGGGCGGCUUGAAAUGCAGGUGCAGCUGGACUUUUAUCUGAGCUAAAAGCAUAUCUAUUUAGUCCUCGUCAAACAGGAUUAUUACUUUUGCUGCAGCUAACAUAAAGGAUAAUUGUCCUCUUUGCUGACUGAUGCAGGAUUUUACGACACUUUAUGUGUUGUUCAACUCGAUCUCAAAUCAAGUAAGACUACCCGCUGAACUUAAGCAUAUCAAUAAGCGGAGGA
rnacentral:misc_RNA from 1 species